GACGAACGCUGGCGGCGUGCCUAAUACAUGCAAGUUGAGCGCUGAAGGUUGGUACUUGUACCAACUGGAUGAGCAGCGAACGGGUGAGUAACGCGUGGGGAAUCUGCCUUUGAGCGGGGGACAACAUUUGGAAACGAAUGCUAAUACCGCAUAAAAACUUUAAACACAAGUUUUAAGUUUGAAAGAUGCAAUUGCAUCACUCAAAGAUGAUCCCGCGUUGUAUUAGCUAGUUGGUGAGGUAAAGGCUCACCAAGGCGAUGAUACAUAGCCGACCUGAGAGGGUGAUCGGCCACAUUGGGACUGAGAUACGGCCCAAACUCCUACGGGAGGCAGCAGUAGGGAAUCUUCGGCAAUGGACGAAAGUCUGAACGAGCAACGCCGCGUGAGUGAAGAAGGGUGUCGGAUCGUAAAACUCUGUUGGUAGAGAAGAACGUUGGUGAGAGUGGAAAGCUCAUCAAGUGACGGUAACUACCCAGAAAGGGACGGCUAACUACGUG
rnacentral:rRNA from 1 species